CAUGCCUAACACAUGCAAGUCGAACGUGAUCCGGGGCUUCGGCCCCGGUGAAAGUGGCGGACGGGUGAGUAACGCGUGGGAACCUGCCUGGUGGUCGGGGAUAACCGCGGGAAACUGCGGCUAAUACCCGAUGAGCCCGAAAGGGGAAAGAUUUAUCGCCAUCGGAGGGGCCCGCGUCGGAUUAGGUAGUUGGUGGGGUAACGGCCUACCAAGCCUGCGAUCCGUAGCUGGUCUGAGAGGAUGAUCAGCCACACUGGGACUGAGAUACGGCCCAGACUCCUACGGGAGGCAGCAGUGGGGAAUAUUGGACAAUGGGCGCAAGCCUGAUCCAGCAAUGCCGCGUGAGUGAAGAAGGCCUUAGGGUUGUAAAGCUCUUUCGGCGGGGACGAUGAUGACGGUACCCGCAGAAGAAGCCCCGGCUAACUCCGUGCCAGCCGCCGCCGUAACAC
rnacentral:rRNA from 1 species